rnacentral:rRNA from 1 species
UCUUUUUGUUUAAAAAUUUAAAGUCUAACCUGCCCAAUGUAUGAUGAAUGGCCGCAGUAUUUUGACUGUGCUAAGGUAGCAUAAUCAUUAGUUUUUUAAUUGAAAGCUGGAAUGAAGGGUUGAAUGAAAGAAUAUCUUUAUUUAAUUAAAAUAAUUAAAAUUUUAUUUUUAAGUAAAAAAGCUUAAAUAAUUAUUAAAGACGAGAAGACCCUAUAGAGUUUUAUAUUUUAUUAAUAUUGUAAUUUGGGAUUUAAUUUUAAUUUUUAAAUUAAAUAUUUAAUUGGGGUGAUUUUAAAAUUAAAAUAACUUUUUUUAUAUUUAAAUAUAGUUAUAUAAAUAUAUGAUCCUAUGUUUUAGAUUAAAAGAAAAAAUUACCUUAGGGAUAACAGCGUAAUUUUAUUAAAGAGUUCAAAUCGAAAAUAAAGAUUGCGACCUCGAUGUUGGAUUAAAA